rnacentral:rRNA from 1 species
AGAGUUUGAUCAUGGCUCAGGACGAACGCUGGCGGCGUGCCUAAUACAUGCAAGUCGAACGAACUCUGGUAUUGAUUGGUGCUUGCAUCAUGAUUUACGUUUGAGUGAGUGGCGAACUGGUGAGUAACACGUGGGAAACCUGCCCAGAAGCGGGGGAUAACACCUGGAAACAGAUGCUAAUACCGCAUAACAACUUGGACCGCAUGGUCCGAGUUUGAAAGAUGGCUUUGGCUAUCACUUUUGGAUGGUCCCGCGGCGUAUUAGCUAGAUGGUGGGGUAACGGCUCACCAUGGCAAUGAUACGUAGCCGACCUGAGAGGGUAAUCGGCCACAUUGGGACUGAGACACGGCCCAAACUCCUACGGGAGGCAGCAGUAGGGAAUCUUCCACAAUGGACGAAAGUCUGAUGGAGCAACGCCGCGUGAGUGAAGAAGGGUUUCGGCUCGUAAAACUCUGUUGUUAAAGAAGAACAUAUCUGAGAGUAACUGUUCAGGUAUUGACGGUAUUUAACCAGAAAGCCACGGCUAACUACGUGCCAGCAGCCGCGGUAAUACGUAGGUGGCAAGCGUUGUCCGGAUUUAUUGGGCGUAAAGCGAGCGCAGGCGGUUUUUUAAGUCUGAUGUGAAAGCCUUCGGCUCAACCGAAGAAGUGCAUCGGAAACUGGGAAACUUGAGUGCAGAAGAGGACAGUGGAACUCCAUGUGUAGCGGUGAAAUGCGUAGAUAUAUGGAAGAACACCAGUGGCGAAGGCGGCUGUCUGGUCUGUAACUGACGCUGAGGCUCGAAAGUAUGGGUAGCAAACAGGAUUAGAUACCCUGGUAGUCCAUACCGUAAACGAUGAAUGCUAAGUGUUGGAGGGUUUCCGCCCUUCAGUGCUGCAGCU